rnacentral:rRNA from 1 species
CCAGACUCCUACGGGAGGCAGCAGUGGGGAAUAUUGCACAAUGGGGGGAACCCUGAUGCAGCGACGCCGCGUGAGUGAAGAAGUAUUUCGGUAUGUAAAGCUCUAUCAGCAGGGAAGAAGAUGACGGUACCUGACUAAGAAGCCCCGGCUAACUACGUGCCAGCAGCCGCGGUAAUACGUAGGGGGCAAGCGUUAUCCGGAUUUACUGGGUGUAAAGGGAGCGUAGACGGCAGGGCAAGUCUGGAGUGAAAGCCCGGGGCCCAACCCCGGGACUGCUCUUGGAACUGCGCGGCUGGAGUGCAGGAGGGGCAGGCGGAAUUCCUGGUGUAGCGGUGAAAUGCGUAGAUAUCAGGAGGAACACCGGCGGCGAAGGCGGCCUGCUGGACCGUGACUGACGUUGAGGCUCGAGAGCGUGGGGAGCAAACAGGAUUAGAUACCCCGGUA